rnacentral:rRNA from 1 species
AUUGAACGCUGGCGGCAUGCUUUACACAUGCAAGUCGAACGGCAGCGCGGGCUUCGGCCUGGCUGCGAGUGGCGAACGGGUGAGUAAUGCAUCGGAACGUGCCCAGUAGUGGGGGAUAGCCCGGCGAAAGCCGGAUUAAUACCGCAUACGACCUGAGGGUGAAAGCGGGGGACCGAAAGGCCUCGCGCUAUUGGAGCGGCCGAUGUCGGAUUAGCUAGUUGGUGGGGUAAAGGCUUACCAAGGCGACGAUCCGUAGCUGGUCUGAGAGGACGACCAGCCACACUGGGACUGAGACACGGACCAGACUCCUACGGGAGGCAGCAGUGGGGAAUGUUGGACAAUGGGGGCAACCCUGAUCCAGCCAUGCCGCGUGCGGGAAGAAGGCCUUCGGGUUGUAAACCGCUUUUGUUCGGGAAGAAAUCCUCUGGGCUAAUACCCCGGGGGGAUGACGGUACCGGAAGAAUAAGCACCGGCUAACUACGUG